CUAGUCUUAUCGGUGGAUCACUCGGUUCGUGGGUCGAUGAAGAACGCAGCCAACUGUGAUAAGUAGUGUGAACUGCAGAAACCUUGAACACAAAACAUUUGAAUGCACAUUGCGCCACCGGAGUAACAUCAGGUGGCACGUCUGGUUCAGGGU
rnacentral:rRNA from 1 species